GAUCUUGUGUCUGUCUGUCUGUAAAGAUGUUUGUCGUAAUCCGGGGGGAAUAAUUAAGCUUCAGGAACGUUUGUUAAAUGAGGGGAGCGGUCAAAACACGAAGAUUUUCAAGCUUUUAAAUACGGAUCACAAGACAGCAAGAGAUCAAAAAUAUUCGGAAACAUUCAGGUAAGUUCGGCUCUAUUUUUUUCUUGUUAUAUACAUCAGGCAAUGACAUUUUUAGUGUUCAAUCUAGAGGCAAACAAUGUGCUUUUAUGAGUUUAUCAGCACUUUUAACUGCCCAAAAUAUACCACUGAUCGAUUGGUCAAAAACAACAUUUAAUCGUCUUAUUACAAGGAGACAAAAUGUACUUGCAAGCUCUCGAUAAUGGCUUUGUUGUCUUAGAAACUGCCCAAAAUAUACCACUGAUCGAUUGGUCAAAAACAACAUUUAUAAAUAAUGUCUUAUUUAUACAAGUCCUGAGACAAAAUGUACUUGUAAGCUCUGUCUUAGAACCUGCUGUCGAAUUCUUAUCUGUCGAUAAUUUACCUAAACUUGUCAGUGUUUCAAGUUGUAUACAAACAUGUUUCUUACAAGAUAUGUGAUUCUGUGAUCGACACAAGAAAUAUACCACAUGUAGUGUAUGCAAAAACAACUAUAACGCCUGUGAAUCCUUUUGAUACACAAAAUAAUGAUACUAUAAACAGUCUGCCCAUGGUGGUAGGACAAAAUAAUAACAUUCUAUAUCCAUUGUAGUAGAGUCCAUUGAGGCAAAAAUAUCAUGGAUCUGCCUAUUGUGGUAGAGCCCAUUCAAGGCAAAAACUAUAGAUCUGCCCAUUGUGCCAAUGUGGUAGAGCCCAUUGAGGCAAAAACUAUAGAUCUGCCCAUUGUGGUAGAGGCCAUUGAGACAAAAACUAUAUAUCUGUCCAUUGUGGUAUCUAGUGCCCAUUGAGGCAAAAACCAUUGAUCUGCCUGUGGUCUAGCCCAUUGAGGCACCAACUAUCAGCGAUCUGCCCCAGAGAAUCGAUAAUAGCGGGCAGAUAUUCAUAUAUUCGUGUUCACAGACUGUAAAAACAAUCGACUUCAAAAGAAAUUAAUUGGGCAGAACACGAAUAUAUGAAUAUCUGCCCUCCCCCCAAUUAUCGAUAUUCCGGCGCCUCUGAUCUGCCCAUUGCGAUGGAGCCCAUUGAGGCACCAACUAUCAGACUAGGGGUCAGCCAGGGGGGGGGGGUCGUAGUAUCCUAAAGAGCUGAUAAAUAUGGAUCAAAAUACCUAUUAUUAUGGUCAAAAUGUUACAUAAUACCUAAAGCAAUCAGAAGCUGUAUACCAGACCUAAUACCCCAAAUUAGUCAUAACAUUUAAAGUAAAUAUACAGUAUACUCGAAUUAAGUACCAUUGGACCCUAUAUACAGUACACAAAACCCUAUGGCCGACCCUACAGACUGCUCUGCCCAUUGUGGUGGAGCCCAUUGAGGCACCAACUAUCAGUGAUCUGCCAUUAUGUGCAAAGGCAAUGAGUUUGUAGUGUUCCAUUUCUAGAUGUUUAUAGCUUUAAACAAAUGUUGUCUGCACAUAUAUUGACUUACAGCAAUUACAUGUAAUAUUACUAACAUUUUAACUGACUUUUGUAUAAGAUCUGAGAUAUGUCCAUUGUUAGCAUAAUAUGAAAUAAUUCUAGUGGCCUACAUAUGGCUGUGUCACUACGAUAAUGCUCACAAUUUCUUUCUUAUCAUAUAUUUUUGCAGUUCUGACUGAGAACAAUCUUAAUCAUGUCAAUGAAUGGUGUCAUCUGAAGCAUAUUAAACAGAAAUGUCAGCAAAUACAUUUUGUCUACCCAUCGGCAGAUUGUUCGGUUGGUCUGUGAAGGGGAAGCCAUGAAGGUGGCAUUACAUGUAAAACGAUAAUUGGAACAAAAACCGACUUUAUAGUAUUUUUAUAUAAACAUUGUUCUGUAUUCAGUGGCAAACUCACACAUGUGAUCACCAAGUUUAUACUUUAUAGUGCACUUUUUAUAAGAUGAGAUGUAAGAUACAAUCAGGGACGCCGGAACUGGGGGGGGGCAGGAAGGGCAGCCGCCCCCGUUGCCCUUUACCAGGAGGGGCAAGGGAGGCAAAGGUGUCCUUUCAAUUUAAAGGAUUGCCUUGGCAAAAUAGCAAAUUGUCAGAAAUGUUAGUGCAAUUCUUUUACUAAUUUGCUUCAGAAAACGCAAGAAAUACAGUCAUCGAGCUUCAAGAAUAGCAUAAUCGCCUGGCAGAGAACCCCCUCACACCCCUAUCAUCCAAUAUAUAGAAAACAUGAUUAGGUGAAGUUCAACUCCCGAUGUUUUGCAAACAUCUCUUAGUAUAUAUCAAUUCAAAAGUGCCCUUUCACCAAAAUCUGCCACCCUUGCCUUCACAUCGUUCCGGCGUCCCUGGAUACAAUUGUAGAAGGUAAUUGAUGUAGAACAUGUGUAAGACAUUAAAUCAUACAUACAGUGAAAAAGACACUUUUUGGUUGUAGUACAUCCUGCAUGUACAUAUCGGCAGCAUUUUACUUGCGAU
rnacentral:lncRNA from 1 species